rnacentral:rRNA from 1 species
GCGGAUGCCUUGGCUCUCGGAGGCGAUGAAGGACGUGAUAAGCUGCGAUAAGCUUUGGGGAGGUGCAAAUGACCUUUGAUCCAGAGAUUUCCGAAUGGGACAACCCAAUAUCUUGAAGAGGUAUUAUCCAACGUUGUUGGAGGCUAACGCAGGGAACUGAAACAUCUUAGUACCUGCAGGAAAAGAAAAUAAACAAUGAUUCCCCCAGUAGUGGCGAGCGAACGGGGAACAGCCCAAACCAUCCAUGUUACGGCAUGGGUGGGGUUGUAGGACUACGCCGUUGCAUGAAGACAUCAGAGAAGAACUUUCUGGAAAGAAAGACCAUAGAGCAUGACAGUUGCGUAUUCGAAUGUUGUCGAAGCAUAGUAGUAUCCUGAGUAGCGCGGAGCACGAGGAAUUCUGCGUGAAUCUGCCGGGACCAUCCGGUAAGGCUAAAUACUCCCGAGAGACCGAUAGCGAACCAGUACCGUGAGGGAAAGGUGAAAAGCACUUCGAACAGAAGAGUGAAAUAGUUCCUGAAACCGUGCGCCUACAAGCGGUCGGAGCUCGUUAAUGAGUGACGGCGUGCCUUUUGCAUAAUGAACCUACGAGUUGCCUUUGCCGGCAAGGUUAAGUGUGACGACACACGUAUCCGAAGCGAAAGCGAGUCUGAACAGGGCGUAUAGUCGGCAGUGGCAGACGCGAAACCAAGUGAUCUACCCUUGGCCAGGUUGAAGGCUGGGUAACACCAGCUGGAGGACCGCACCAAUAAGCGUUGAAAAGCUUCUGGAUGAGCUGAGGGUAGGGGUGAAAGGCUAAUCAAACUUGGAGAUAGCUCGUACUCCCCGAAAUGCAUUUAGGUGCAGCCUUGCGGGUUACUGAUGUGAGGUAGAGCGACUGAUAAGAUGCGAGGGCUUCACCGCCUAUCAAGUCUUGACAAACUCCGAAUGCGCAUCAGUUCUACCGCAGGAGUGAGGGCAUGGGUGCUAAGGUCCGUGCCCGAGAGGAGAAGAAUCCGGACCACCUGCUAAGGUCCCGAAAUGACAGCUAAGUUAAACUAACGAAGUCUGACUGCUAAGACAGCUAGGAUGUUGGCUUGGAAGCAGCCAUUCAUUUAAAGAGUGCGUAACAGCUCACUAGUCGAGGAGUCGGGCGUGGAUAAUAAUCGGGUAUUAAGUUGUCUACCGAAGCAGUGGGAUCAUUGAUAUGAUCGGUAGGGGAGCAUUCCAGUCGGCGUCGAAGGCGUACCGUGAGGUAUUCUGGAGCGUCUGGAAAAGCAAAUGUAGGUAUAAGUAACGAUAAAGGGGGCGGGAAACCCCCUCGCCGAAAGACUAAGGUUUCCUGAUCAACGCUAAUCGGAUCAGGGUCAGUCGGGUCCUAAGGCUCAGCCGAACGGCGAUGCCGAUGGCAGAAACGGUUAAUAUUCCGUUACUACCUUCAGGAGUGACGUGGAGACGCAGUAGUGACAGUGCCGCCAUCUGACGGAAUAGAUGGUUGAAGGGUGUAGGAGUCGAUCAUGGCAGGCAAAUCCACCAUGAGAUCCGAACCUGACAGUAUGCCGCGUCCUUCGGGACAAGGCAAUAGUGCGCGUAAGCAUGCUGCCGAGAAAAUCCGCUAAACUUAAUCCUGCAGGUACCCGUACCGCAAACGGACACACGUAGUCGGGAUGAAUAUUCUAAGGCGCUUGAGUGAUUCACGGUUAAGGAACUAGGCAAACUGACCCUGUAACUUCGGGAUAAAGGGUCCCUACCCUUUUAUGGGAGGGCGCAGAGAAUCGGUCCAGGCAACUGUUUAACAAAAACACAGGGCUGUGCCAAAUCGAAAGAUCCAGUAUACAGCCUGACACCUGCCCGGUGCUGGAAGGUUAAGAGGAGAUGUCAUCGAUAAGAGAAGCGUUGAAUUGAAGCCCCAGUAAACGGCGGCCGUAACUAUAACGGUCCUAAGGUAGCGAAAUUCCUUGUCGGGUAAGUUCCGACCUGCACGAAUGGUGUAAUGAUCCGGACGCUGUCUCAACCAUGAGCUCAGUGAAAUUGUAGUAUCGGUGAAGAUGCCGAUUACCCGCGAUGGGACGAAAAGACCCCGUGAACCUUUACUAUAGCUUAUCAUUGAAUCUGGGCACGUGAUGUGUAGGAUAGGUCGGAGGCUUUGAAGCAGGUACGCCAGUAUUUGUGGAGCCGCUGUUGAAAUACGACCCUUUAUUUGUUUGGAUUCUAACCCGUGGAUACGGGGACAUUGAUUGGUGGGUAGUUUGACUGGGGUGGUCGCCUCCAAAAGCGUAACGGAGGCUUCUAAAGGUGCCCUCCGGCCGAUUGGUAACCGGCCUUAGAGUGUAAUGGCAUAAGGGCGCUUGACUGGGAGACUGACAAGUCGAUCAGGUAGGAAACUAGAGCAUAGUGAUCCGGUGUUUCCGUAUGGAAGGGACAUCGCUCAAAGGAUAAAAGGUACUCCGGGGAUAACAGGCUGAUC